rnacentral:rRNA from 1 species
GACGAACGCUGGCGGCGUGCUUAACACAUGCAAGUCGAACGGUGAAGCGCCUUCCUUUUUGGUGGGUGUGGAUGAGUGGCGAACGGGUGAGUAACACGUGAGUAACCUGCCCCCUUCUUCUGGAUAACCGCAUGAAAGAGUGGCUAAUACGGGAUAUUCUGGGUCUGUCGCAUGAUGGGUCUGGGAAAGAUAUUGUUUCGGUGGGGGAUGGGCUCGCGGCCUAUCAGCUUGUUGGUGGGGUGAUGGCCUACCAAGGCGGUGACGGGUAGCCGGCCUGAGAGGGUGGACGGUCACACUGGGACUGAGACACGGCCCAGACUCCUACGGGAGGCAGCAGUGGGGAAUAUUGCACAAUGGGCGCAAGCCUGAUGCAGCGACGCCGCGGGAGGGAUGGAGGCCUUCGGGUUGUGAACCUCUUUCGCCAGUGAAGCAGGCCUGCCUCGUUUGUGGGUGGGUUGACGGUAGCUGGAUAAGAAGCGCCGGCUAACUACGUG